rnacentral:rRNA from 1 species
UACGAAGGGGGCUAGCGUUGCUCGGAAUCACUGGGCGUAAAGCGCACGUAGGCGGGUCGUUAAGUCGGGGGUGAAAUCCUGGAGCUCAACUCCAGAACUGCCUUCGAUACUGGCGAUCUUGAGUCUGGGAGAGGUGAGUGGAACUCCGAGUGUAGAGGUGAAAUUCGUAGAUAUUCGGAAGAACACCGAUAGCGAAGGCAGCUCGCUGGGACGGUACUGACGCUGAGGUGCGAAAGCGUGGGGAGCGAACAGG